UACGAAGGGGGCUAGCGUUGUUCGGAAUUACUGGGCGUAAAGCGCGUGUAGGCGGGUUUUUAAGUCAGGGGUGAAAUGCCAAGGCUCAACCUUGGAACUGCCUUUGAUACUGGAGAUCUUGAGUCCGGGAGAGGUGAGUGGAACUGCGAGUGUAGAGGUGAAAUUCGUAGAUAUUCGCAAGAACACCAGUGGCGAAGGCGGCUCACUGGCCCGGAACUGACGCUGAGACGCGAAAGCGUGGGGAGCAAACAGG
rnacentral:rRNA from 1 species